rnacentral:rRNA from 1 species
AGAGUUUGAUCAUGGCUCAGGAUGAACGCUAGCGGAGGGCUUAACACAUGCAAGUCGAGGGGCAGCGUAAAAUAAGUUUGCUUAUUUGGCGGCGACCGGCGAACGGGUGCGUAACACGUACGUAAUCUACCCUUUGCCAAGGUAUAGCUCGUAGAAAUUCGAAUUAAUACCCCAUAGUAUAAAAUUUUCGCCUGAAUAUUUUAUUAAAGCCUUGGGUUAAAACCUUUGGUAGCAAAGGAUGAGCGUGCGCCCGAUUAGUUAGUUGGUGAGGUAAUGGCUUACCAAGACUGCUAUCGGUAGGGGGCCUGAGAGGGUGAUCCUCCACACUGGUACUGAGACACGGACCAGACCUUUACGGAGGGCAGCAGUGAGGAAUAUUGGUCAAUGGAGGAAACUCUGAACCAGCCACUCCGCGUGCAGGACGACGGCCUUCUGGGUUGUAAACUGCUUUUGUAUAGAAAUAAAAUUUCUUACUAGUAAGAACUUGAAGGUACUAUACGAAUAAGUGUCGGCUAACUCCGUGCCAGCAGCCGCGGUAAUACGGAGGACACAAGCGUUAUCCGGAUUUAUUGGGUUUAAAGGGUGCGUAGGCGGUUUGUUAAGUCAGUAGUGAAAUCUUACAGCUCAACUGUAAAAUUGCUAUUGAUACUAGCAGCCUAGAGUAAGAUUGGAGCAAUUGGAAUGUGUGGUGUAGCGGUGAAAUGCAUAGAUAUCACACAGAACACCGAUCGCGAAGGCAGAUUGCUAAGUCUUUACUGACGCUGAGGCACGAAAGCGUGGGUAGCAAACAGGAUUAGAUACCCUGGUAGUCCACGCUGUAAACGAUGAUCACUAGCUGUUGGAUUGUUUUUUUUUAUUCAGUGGCCAAUCGAAAGAGGUAAGUGAUCCACCUGGGGAGUACGAUCGCAAGAUUGAAACUCAAAGGAAUUGACGGGGGUCCGCACAAGCGGUGGAGCACGUGGUUUAAUUCGAUAAUACGCGAGGAACCUUACCAAGGCUUAAAUGUACCACGAAUAAGCUGGAAACAGUUUAGUUUUCGGACGGGGUACAAGGUGCUGCAUGGUUGUCGUCAGCUCGUGCCGUGAGGUGUUGGGUUAAGUCCUGCAACGAGCGCAACCCCCAUUGUUAGUUGCCAACGGAUUAUGCUGGGAACUCUAACAAAACUGCCGAUGCAAAUCGAGAGGAAGGUGGGGAUGACGUCAAAUCAUCAUGGCCCUAACGUCUUGGGCCACACACGUGCUACAAUGGCCGGUACAGAGAGAAGCCACUGGGUGACUAGAAGCGAAUCUCUAAAACCGGUCUCAGUUCGGAUUGGAGUCUGCAACUCGACUCUAUGAAGCUGGAAUCGCUAGUAAUCGCGUAUCAGCCAUGACGCGGUGAAUACGUUCCUGGGCCUUGUACACACCGCCCGUCAAGCCAUGGAAGUCGGAGGUAUCUGAAGUCAGUGACCGUUAAAGGAGCUGCCUAGGGUAAAAUCGGUAACUAGGGCUAAGUCGUAACAAGGUAGCCGUAG